GACAAAAAACUACUUGACCUGGGCAUCUCUUUCAGAUUAUCAACAGCUGGAUUACAAUUUGAGAGUAAAUCUCUUCCAAGGGAGAUGGUAUGAGAAAUACUUCCUAGAUCUUAACGUGCAGAAAGCAAUGAAGAAGAAAUAUGGGGGGGUUAAAAAAGACAAUUCCUAGAAGAUGGAAGUUGAAGAUUGGAGUGCGUUCAACAAUGAGUCUUUUUCUUCCACCAUCUAAUAAACCUGCCUGUGAAACCUGAACCCAUUGCCUGCCAGCUGGCAACAGCAGAUUUGUUCCUGGUGCUUUCUCCCCUCUCUGUUAAAGUGUCUCUGGAAAGAAGAAGUGUGAGAUAAGUCUGAAUAUGCUAACAAGAAAAAAAUCACUUUGUUGUUCCCACCACUGGUAUGGCGGGAAGGAUUAGUGUGUGAGGUCCAUACCCUUGCAGAAGAAUGUUGUGUUGAGAGGAACCCACACAGAAAUUCACUUGCUCGGCAUAUAAGUUGGCGCAGGACCUGUGAGUGUUGUAAGAGGGCAGUGGUGAAAGGGGUGUGUAUUUGUGAGCAAGCUCAUGUUUGCCAGAAGAUUCAUGACACUUUGACAGCUAUCCCAGCAGUCCAGAGAGUACAGAGGAUUCUCUGGGAACCAGCCAUGGUUGUCCCAGCAGCAGAAAUGUGCUAAAGCAAAUGGAAAUUCACCUGAGAAGAGGUGGCAUCAGGCUGUUUGUGAAAGCUUAUGGUAUUUACAGGCCAAAACCAGUGAAAAUAAAACCAAAUAAACAGCAGCUUAUUCCACCUAAAGGGAACAGGAAAGAUGCAAGAAGCCUCAGGACUCCUCCAAUGCAGAAAUCACCCCACAAUGUGCAUGUACCCUUACUGAAGCUCUGAUAAACCCCACUUGCCCCCAACAGACCUUUACCUAGCUCAGAGGUAAGUGACUCUCAGAGAGAAGCACAUGCAUCCAGCAUCAAUAUGUACAACCUGGAGUACGGGACUGGAUCUGGGAAGUAAGUAAGGACCACCCAAGGGCUGAAUGAUGCAGGAUAUGCAGGGUCUUUAGUGCUUCCUGAUGUUUUUUUCUCACAAAUUUAAUGGUCUUUAUUGCAGAACUGUGCCUUCCAACUCCAAAGUGUAACGACUUAGUACAGCAAUCACAAAGUACAUUUCUGGGAAUAGCAAUGCCAUGUUCUUCCCUGUCUGGGCCUAAGCUCUCACCAUUUUAGAAGAUUGAUGCUUCAUUCAAUAAUAUGAACUGUUUUGGGACAGAAUUAGGAUUGUUACCUCACCAUUGGCUGGUGAUUAGACAACAGUAUGCUGACUUUGUUAAAGUAGUGAAGGAGGUUAACAUUUAGCUAAUAUGAUAAUCAAGAGAUAAUCAUUUUCCACCACCAAUAAUUAACCAAAUAUUUCCAGGCAGAUGUCCAAGUCUUUCAAAUUAAGGAUACUGGCCAAAUUGCAGCUUGUAGAAACCUCCCUGUGGGUUUGCUUUGUACAUUAGUUCUGAGUGGCUGCUGUCUGAGCACACACCACUCUCGCCUCUCCUGAACAGCACAGCUCUGUAGGAACAGCCGGCUCUCUGUGUUGCAUCCAGCACUGAUGGCCAAUAUAGCCCCAGGUAUAUAAUGAACACUGUCUUCUGAGACCACUGCAGGUCCUAGUCCAGAAAACAUGGAGCUGAACAGAAAUCUACUGAUGUUGUUUGGCAUACUGGAAGCAGGCAGUUCAGGGCACAGUCAGCUAAUAGGCAAUACAUAAUGUGGGAUGAAUCCACACAUAGAUGUACAAAUUUGUUCCUACUAGACAUUAAAAAUGCCUGCUAGCCAUUAGAUAUGGACACUAGGGCAAGCAAGCAGACUGCAGGAUUAUAGUUAAGCUGGAAGCAAAUGCCCUUUUACUAUUCAUGAGGGGCUCAUUAAAAGAGUAGAUCAGAAGAGAAAUGGACUGAAAGGUCCUGUUGGUGCACCACUGGGCACAAAAUGGGGUAUUUGCCUCUUGCAGUGAUAUGAAGGCACUGUGUACACCUUUUACAAAUGAAAAUAUUUUAUAAUCUCCUAAAUAGUAUAAAAUACUUGGUGUUGUAUAAUGCACUCAGAUGGGUGGCAGCUGUUUGAUGACAAAUGAACAUACCUGUGUCAAUCCCCUUUCAUCUUUGCUUUGCCAAAUGGUAUGGCUCAGGCAGGAAAAAACACUUUCAGACAGAUGACACAUAAAAGCUGCAGAGAUAACUGAGAUUGUAGUUUUCAGUAAGGCAGCACAGCUGCUGGGAGCAAUCAAUACCUGAAGUCUUUGAAUGCUGAACAGACUAAUUUAUCCACAACCUUGGCAAGGAACAUUUUCCUGUGUGGAACUUUUUGUUUUAGAAUGCUUUGGAUAUCCAGACACAUAUAUGGAAAGCCAGCCUUGGAAUCUCCAGGUACCAUGUCAUAUGCAGUUAGACAGUAACAGAGUUGAAAUAAGUGCUCAGCUCACUGCAGCUGAAAUCUCCCUUCUAUCCAUUCUUCAGCUCUCAACAGUUCAUUCCUUCUUGCUUGUUUUGUGCUGGUGUUGGUGCUUCCCUGACAAUGCUCUUAAGUGAGUCAAAUUGAUAAACCAGCAGAAAAUCAAUACAGAAGGAAAACCAAAACAAAACAUAAGUUAGCAGGCUAACCAAUUAAAAUUUCUAAGCGAAGGGUCUUAUUGCAGACAAGGCAAUGAGUGAUGGGAUAUGCAGAUCUGUGGAAAGAAGAGUAGAAGGAGAAUGGAGGUGGAAAUGGCCUUUCACUGCCUUUUUUAUGCAGCAAGAAAUUAGUUUGCCUCCACUGUAUUGUCUCACAGAACGCAGUGCUUUGCAACACAGGUAGCCCGUAUUUAAGUGGUUUUACAGGGUCUGAUCAUUGGGUGGCAGCUCUGAGCCAGUGUUUUUACCUGACAAGUCAGAAAUUUGAAAAAAAAAUGAGUUCUUCUCUGGUUUAGCUAAACCAUUCACUGAAAUUGCUAUUUAAGAACUGUUUAGGUCACCUCUGAACAGUCAGUGCACUUGAAAUAUAAUCAGACUACAAGGAUUUGAAGUAGAAUAAACCAGUUUCACCCCAGCUUCUGCAGCACUCUCCCCACAACUUUUUCUAGCAGUAAUGGCUACUUCCCAGUUCAGGGUCAUGCAUCCCUGCAGUUAAAGCACAGGUUAUUUUGCAGGGUAUCACUUUCAAUAAAUAUUUCCUAUUAUCCAAA